CUUUGAUCUACAUUCAUAUGGAGGAUUUUAAAGAUGUCUAACUGGAAUCCUAUUCACAGAAGUUUUAGUUGGAGGCUGACAUAGAUGAAGAUCCUGUUGCCCAAAGACAACCCUGGAGGGGUAAAGUGUAGUCUGAUGCCCCUAAACUUUGUCUCUCUGAUAAAGGUUUUUUAUGCCUCUGCUUUUUUUUUUUUCUGGGAAGCUGGAGCCUAUAACCACACGUUCAAAACCAUACCCAGUAGCCUGAGGGUUCUCAAGCACCAAGUAUUGGGGACAAGCUUGAUGUCAGCCUUGGACAAGCACACAAGUAACUAACUUGGGGCACUAGUGUCCAGGAAAUUUGCCCAGGCUACUCCACUAUGAGGAAGAAGGUCAACUCUGCCUGCCUACAAGCAGCUAGC
rnacentral:lncRNA from 1 species